AUGCAAGUGGUAGGAAGUCGUGAAGGGACCGACCUCGGGAGCUUGCACAGGUGCUGCAUGGCUGUCGUCAGCUCGUGUCGUGAGAUGUUCGGUUAAGUCCGCUAACGAGCGCAACCCUCGUCGUGUGUUACAAGGUGUCACGCGAGACCGCCGACGUCAAGUCGGAGGAAGGUGGGAUGAUGUCAAGUCAGCAUGGCCUUUAUAUCCAGGGCUACACACACGCUACAAUGGUCAACACAAUAGGUCGCGAAACCGCGAGGUGGAGCCAAUCCUCAAAGUUGGCCUCAGUUCAGAUUGUAGGCUGCAACUCGCCUGCAUGAAGAUGGAGUUGCUAGUAACCGCAGGUCAGCACUACUGCGGUGAAUACGUUCCCGGGUUU
rnacentral:rRNA from 1 species